rnacentral:lncRNA from 1 species
AGUGAGUGGAGGAUCACCCUCAUAGAAACAAGGGGAGGGAGGAUGUGAUAGGGGGUUUCUGGGAGUGAGGGAAACUGGGGGAAAAGGGAUAACAUUUGAAAUGUAAAUAAAGAAAAUAGCCAAUUUAAAAGAGAGAGGGCGGGGUCAGACUCUCUUGUCAUCUUGAACUCCAGAACAUGGAGACUAGGAGGUACUUACAGUAUAAUAAGGAGAUAAAAAGAGCAGUAUCACUGAGCACAAGCUGGUGGAAGCCACAGAAAGCAGAAGGCACUACACAUUUGUACAUAUUAUGCAUGUCUACAAACAUAAUUCAUUCAUUUAUUUAUUGCAUUAUGUGUGGACUUUGAUUCAGAGGCAUUGUUCUAUUUCAAUGUUAAUAAAAUUUAAAAACAAAUUGGAUUUUCACCUCUUUGAAUCUUCGAUUUAGUAAACUACUCGUAAUUUCUUAUAUUUUUAUUUUCUUCUUUGUCAGACUUACUUCAACUACGUAUUUAUUCAGUGUCACUAUGAACUAUAGUCUGAGAUGAAAAUGUUUUUCUUUGUAAAGAUACAGAUUCAUAAAUUUAUAUAUACACUCAUCAAAUACUUGAAAACAAGACUUAUGUGUGCCUUCCUCACUUUCAUCUACUUGAAAGAACUGAGCACUAAUCCAACCUGCAAGACGAGUACAGGGAGUACAGGGAGUGCUAGUGUGCGCCUUAGUGCUCCGGCCCUACAUGGCGCUGCAUUAACCUUCUUCUGUCACCUCCUAGCUUUAUACAGUUUUCUUUUGAUGUAAGGCAUGAAUAAAAAUGAAUGACUUUAAGGUGAGAUGACACGUUUCUGCUUUUGGUAAAUGCUUUCUUUAUUGUUCUCAUCUCUAAAGACAGUACUGAUGGGCUGUUCUUGCACAGUCGUGGGUUCAGGUUCUAACACUUUACGUGUCAAGGUAAACUUUAGCUACUAAACAACUUGGUACAUUUUCCCACUGGUGUUUCAAGAUGCUGCUUCUAGGAAAAACUUAUUUCACAUUAAAAUAAACACCUACCUCAUAUGGGAUGAAGGACAGAAUUAAAAUACAUUAAAUUGCAACCCUCAAUAAGAAAUCUCUGUUUCAGGUAGGGCCUUCCUUGAACCCCUUGAAUUAUUAAUGCUCUGGCCAUUCUGGUGGAAAGUUUGCCACAGGAAGAAGAAGCAUAAUGUUGACUCAUUCUGCUGAGUUUUUAUUGCUUUGGACCAAGAUUGAGUUCUUAACCUUACACUUACCAGAACCACCUAGAGGACUUUUUAAAACAAACCUCAACAAGAAUUUAGAAUAAUGCAUAUAACACACAACACAAUGUAAGCACGUAAUAGUGGCGGCUAAUGUUGAGAAUUACUCACUAUGGUAUUAUGGACACCAUGCAACACUUGGUUUUAUUAUUUAUUGCGAGUGUGCACACGUUAAUACAUGCAUGGGACAAUGUGUACACAAGAGUGCAUGUGCAUCCAGGCAGAGACCUGAACUGACGUUGGGUGUUUUCUAAAUGGCUCUCUAGUUUAUUUUCUGACACUGGGUCUCUCAGAGAACCUGGACUUCAUUAAAGUCUAGCUAGUCAACAGGCUUUGGUAAUACCAUGUCUGCCUCUGGAGUGCUGAGACUGCAGGCAACCAACACAUUAGCCCAACUUUCAUGGGAGGUCUAGGGACCUGAAGUCUGCCUCACUUUGCAGUAUGUGUCCAAUUUGGAAAAAAAAAAAAAAAAAAAAAAAAAAAAAAGAGAAUCUCUCAUAGAUAUCUGUCUUGUUCAUUUCUCUAUUGCCUCAAACCAGCUUUAAGUCUACCACAUACAAGAAGUUUACUUAAAAGGUCUAAAUGUCUAUCACUAUAACUAUACUCUCAUAUCAAGCUUAAAUGUGUCACUGAAUUUUUGAACAUAGCAGGUAUGUCAAUAUUCAUAUUCUUUUAUAUGUGAAUAAGGUUUAAGCACAUUCUAUGUUGAAUCUGGACCUAAGAGUUUUAUGCUAGUAUUUCUUCCUUGUAAUUACACAAUCUACAUAAGUAAGGGAACAUCACCUCUAUUGAUAAUCUUUUCUUAUUGUCAGGUUUCUAAUAAGAAACAAUCCCAAUGAAUAUGCUGUUGUACCAUGCUGCAUUUCUACAUU